CCCUUAGAUGUUCUGGGCCGCACGCGCGCUACACUGAUGCAUUCAACGAGUCUAAAACCUGGUCUGAUAGGGCUGGGUAAUCUUUUGAAAGUGCAUCGUGAUUGGGAUAGAUGAUUGCAAUUCUUCAUCUUCAACGAGGAAUGCCUAGUAAACGCAAGUCAUCAGCUUGCAUUGAUUACGUCCCUGCCCUUUGUACACACCGCCCGUCGCUCCUACCGAUUGAAUGAUCCGAUGAAUACCAUGGAUUGAGAGUACGAAUGGGUUCGCUCAUUUCUGCUGCUCGAGAAGUGGAGUAAAUCUUAUCAUUUAGAGGAAGGAGAAGUCGUAACG
rnacentral:rRNA from 1 species